rnacentral:rRNA from 1 species
GAUGAACGCUAGCGGCAGGCUUAAUACAUGCAAGUCGAGGGGCAGCGCGGGUAGCAAUACCUGGCGGCGACCGGCAAACGGGUGCGGAACACGUACGCAACCUUCCCAAAACUGGGGAAUAGCCCUCCGAAAGGAGGAUUAAUACCCCGUAACAUAACGAAGUGGCAUCACUUUGUUAUUAUAGUUCCGACGGUUUUGGAUGGGCGUGCGCCUGAUUAGGUAGUUGGCGGGGUAACGCCCACCAAGCCUACGAUCAGUAACUGGUGUGAGAGCACGACCAGUCACACGGGCACUGAGACACGGGCCCGAUCCUACGGGAGGCAGCAGUAAGGAAUAUUGGUCAAUGGACGCAAGUCUGAACCAGCCAUGCCGCGUGAAGGAUGAAGGUCCUCUGGAUUGUAAACUUCUUUUAUAUGGGACGAAAAAAGGGCAUUCUUGCUCACUUGACGGUACCAUAGGAAUAAGCACCGGCUAACUCCGUGCCAGCAGCCG